rnacentral:rRNA from 1 species
AUUGAACGCUGGCGGCAGGCCUAACACAUGCAAGUCGAGCGGAUGAAGGGAGCUUGCUCCUGGAUUCAGCGGCGGACGGGUGAGUAAUGCCUAGGAAUCUGCCUGGUAGUGGGGGAUAACGUCCGGAAACGGGCGCUAAUACCGUAUACGUCCUGAGGGAGAAAGUGGGGGAUCUUCGGACCUCACGCUAUCAGAUGAGCCUAGGUCGGAUUAGCUAGUUGGUGGGGUAAAGGCCUACCAAGGCGACGAUCCGUAACUGGUCUGAGAGGAUGAUCAGUCACACUGGAACUGAGAGACGGUGCAGACACCUACGGGAGGAACCAGUGGGGAAGAUUGAAUAAUGGGCGAGGGAUGUAUAACGCAAUAUCGCGUGAGUGAAGAAGGUCUUCGGAUAUUUAAUUUCUUUGAUCAGGAAAGAAAAAAAGUCACCGGAUAACUCCAUGUCCGCACGGUACCUAAUGAGCAAGAAAAGGCUAGCUUCGUG